AAAAGGACGGAAUUUGCCAUAAAAGGACGGACUCUACCCAACAAACUCAGGGAAUCUUGGCAGACUUUGAUAGGCAGCUGACUGAGCCAAUGACAAACUUUGAGGACAUUUAAAGCACGUCCGCAGGGUCCUCCAGUCAAACGACUACGUGCAUGUGAACCCGGAUGAGCACCAGCACUGUUGCUUGCCCUGUGAGAAGAGGACGCCCCCCCUCCCUGUUAGAGAGAGGCGAUAGUGAGUCACUGUAGCUCCAGUCUGCCCUCAGACCAGAGGGAGAAGAAGUGGAACCUGCUCCUACUGGUUUGGUAAUAUACAUCCAUGAUCCUUGCACGUUUUGAUAGUCUGUUUUGAUUAAAUCUAAAGUUGCAGAAACGAGAAAACUACU
rnacentral:lncRNA from 1 species